rnacentral:rRNA from 1 species
CAGCAGCCACGGUAAUACAGAGGGUGCGAGCGUUAAUCGGAUUUACUGGGCGUAAAGCGUGAGUAGGCGGCUUCUUAAGUCGGAUGUGAAAUCCCUGAGCUUAACUUAGGAAUUGCAUUCGAUACUGGGAAGCUAGAGUAUGGGAGAGGAUGGUAGAAUUCCAGGUGUAGCGGUGAAAUGCGUAGAGAUCUGGAGGAAUACCGAUGGCGAAGGCAGCCAUCUGGCCUAAUACUGACGCUGAGGUACGAAAGCAUGGGGAGCAAACAGGAUUAGAUACCCCGGUAGUCCCUGUCUCUUAUAC